GAGGCUAUUCUAAGUUCUGGCUUAUAGGUAUCAGAAAGUUGGUAUCAUUUCUGAUCAGUGUGGCGAUGGGAGGUAGAGGAGAAUAUUCUAGGUUCUGGCUUAUAGACAUCAGAAAUAUGACUACAGUGUAAUAGAACUGAUUCACUAAACCACCCUUCCAAACACACAUCCAAAUGAGUGUCAUUCCAUGUAGUUCCUGUGAGCAGACUACACACUUAUUCUAAUUGUCUUGCCAUUGCUCAAAGUAGUUUGGAACUACACUUUCUAAACUGCCUUCAGAAAUAAUUUAGUUAUAGGUGCAAAAUAAUUGGUCUUAUGACUUUACUGUCACACCAUCGUUUGAGCAAGAUCUGUAUUACCCAGCCCAAUUACACAAAAUAUUCACAAAAUUUU